AACGAAGCUUUCAGCUUCCAGGGAAAAGAAGAAUGAGAGAUUCCCGUAAACCCUCACGUUAACUUCCGUACGCCGUAACUUCUCCGUCCAAGCUCCAAUCGCCGCACCGUUUGCGGUCACGCGUUCACCGCGUUGAGAUCUACGUUUCUACCAGAACAAUUUCAUAGGAUCCAAUUAGCUUGAGAAAAAUGUUCAUUCAUGCUUAUGUGAAGCUUGGGUAAGGUUGUGAAUAAAUAAUUGGAGCUUGAAAUUGUGAAUAUUGGAACUUGGAGGAAGCUGAUUAGUUGAAUUUUGAAGGGGUGCCUUGGUUUUAAAUAAUUUGCUUUGGUCGUUACGUGGAAAUCGGCCAAGAUGCAGGUCGAGAGGCAUCUCGUUAGGCGUCUGGACUCUUGAGGCGGAGUGGUUACUGGGAUAUUUUGUUAUGCUAUGAUGUAUAUAUAUGUACUUAGUUUUCUCUCCGCAUGACUUAUUCUUUUUGAUCCUCUUAGAGGUUUAUGGAGAGGCAGGAUUGUGUAUAUGUACUUUUGGGUUUUGGAUAUGUAUGUAUAUAUGUGUAAAUAUUCUCCGGCCAGUCUUGACUUCGCAGGCUGAGUUAGGAGCUUGAUAUUUUGUAUCUUUGGCACUCUAUUCCCACUUUUGUUAUCUUGUGUUUAAUAGUUAUGGUUUUCUUAGCACGCAGGUUAACUCGUUCCUUGAGCGUUGCGCUUUUAUUUCACGAUUUUUUGUUUCCUCUAUUCUUCAAGGCUCCUAGCAUAUUAUAAUUCUUCUGCUAUUAUAUGUACUUAUUUUAUUCAGAGGUCGUAAUACCACACCACCUCUGUUUUACGACUUAAGCGUAAAACUUAGUGUGGUAGGGUGUUACGUUAUGGUAUCAGAGCAGUUCGUUCCUAUAGAGCCUGAAAGACGGACUGAUUGUACUUCUGUGCAUUCUCUGUAUAUGUGUUUAUGUGCUAUUAGGAUAUCUGACUGAUAUAUAUGGCAUAAACGUUUGUGAGCAUGUAUUUGGAACUUAAAGCAUUAGACUUGCGAUAUUGAGACUGAUCAACUUAAUAUCACUUGUUUAGUGUGUAUAAGGACCAGAUGUCGACUCGCGGACGCGGUCGCAGGUGAGGUAGAGGUAGGAUAGGCACCGUUAUUCCUGGUUUGGCAGGGAAUGAUGUAGUAGACUUUA